rnacentral:lncRNA from 1 species
UACCACUUAAAAAUGAUUAAUUUCUUUGAUUUUACCAAAUUAAAAACCUGUGGAGUCAUCAAACCAAACUGAACUGCUUGAAUUUAUGCACCAGGAGUAAAGCAGCAUAAAGUUAUCCAAAAGNUAGUUUAUAGAAUAAAACAACAAUGUUCAUUUUACUCAAACAUAAACCUAUAAAUAGCAAAAUCAGAGAAACUGAUUCAGAAACUGAAGUCAUCUUUUAUCUGUUACUGCAGAUGACAGCAGAAUCAGCUUCCAGCGUAAAUGUUAAGGAUAAAGAGAAGGAAAUUGGUGAAUCAGACCAGAAGAAAAAGACAAAGAAGAUCAACAACAGAAAGGCGGCAAAACUAAAGAGGAAAGAGCGAGAGAGGAAGGUCACCAUCUCCAUGUUGGAGAGGUUCCUCAAGAGGGCGAGGAGGUUAUCAAUGGAGCGUCAGAAGCAGGAGAAUGGUGAGAAUAGACCUGCAGAAAAAGGAGGAGAAGAAGAACAGGCCGACAGCGUGAUGAACAGAAAGACAGCUGAGAAUGAGGAGAAGAAAAAGAUGAAAAGGCUGGAGAGGAAAAUGAAGAAGAAAAAGACUAACGAGGUCAAAGAAGAAGCGAUAGAGGAGGGGAUCAGCGAAGGAGGUGUGGAAACGAGGGAUGUGGGAGUUCCAGAAAACAACAACAAGAAGAAAAACGCAAAAAAGAUCAAAGAAGAAGUGAUAGACAUCAGUGAUGGAGAGAUGGAAACGAGGGAUGUGGGAAUUCCAGAAAAGAAGGAGAAGAAAAACGUUAAAAAGAUCAAAGAAGAAGUGAUAGACAUCAGUGACGGAGAGAAGGAAACGAGGGAUGUGGGAGUUCCAGAAAAGAACAAAAAGAAGAAAAAUGCUACAAAGGUAAAAGAAGAAAAGAUGGAUGUGAGCAUCAGCGAAGGAGGUGUAGAAACAAGGGAUGUGGGAGUUCCAGAAAUGAACGAGAAGAAUAAAAACUCUAAUAAGGUCAAAGAAGAAAAGAUAGAUGUGAGCAUCAGCGAAGGAGGUGUGGAAACGAAGGAUGUUCCAGAAAAGAAGAAGAAAAAGAAGAAAAACACAAAAAAGAGGAAAGAAGAAGUGAUAGAAAUCAGUGAUGGAGAGCUGGAAACGAGGGAUGUGGGAGUUCCAGAAAAGAAGGAGAUGAAGAAAAAGAAGAUAAAGGAGGAGACGGAGGAGAAUGUGGAAACGAGGGAUGUUGGAGUUCCUGCAAAUGACAAGAAGAUAAACACCAAUAUCAAAGAAGAAGAAGAAGAAGAAACAGGUAUGAACACUAGUGAGGGAGGUGUGGAAACGAGGGAUCUGAAGGAGAAGAAAAGAAAAAAGCCAAAAAAGAAAAAGGAAGAUGAAGGGAUGGAGGCCACUUUAAAUGAGGAAGAAGAAGAAGAAAAAGAAGAAGGAGGGACUCAGAGCAAACCUAAGAAGAAAAAGAUAAAGAGAGAAGCUCCAGAAGAUGAGAAGAACAGAGGAACGAAUGGAGGAGAGGAUGGAGUGAGUGGUCCUCCAAAGAAGAAGAAAAAGAAGAAGGAGAAAGCAAAGGAUGGAGAAGUGGAAGUGGAGAAAACUGAAGUGGUGAUUAGCGAAGAACCUGAAUCUUUUCCUCCUGAAAAAGUGAAGACGAAGAAAAAGAAAGAAGGGAACAUGCCUGAGGAGAACGGGAUAAACAGAGCUGAGGGAGAGGAAGAAAACGGAGAGGUGGAAGUUAAAGAGAAGAAGAAGAAAAAGAAGAGGAAGAUGCUAGAGGAGCAAGAAGACGAAGCUCAAUCUGCUCUGGAGGAUGGAAGGAUUAAAAAGAAAAAGUUAAAAAAGAGGACAGAGGAGGAUGUGGCAGUCGAAGAAGAAGAAGACGAAGAGAAAGAGAGAAAAAAGAAGAAGAAGGAGAAGAAAAAGAGUCCAGACUCCAUGGAAGAUGCAGAACUGAGUAAAAAGAAACAGAGCCCAAAGAAAACGAGUAAAAUAAGCUCCUCCCCCUCUACCUUCUCCUCCAAUAAGAAUAUAAGAAUAAAGACGGAACCUGUGGAGUUAAACGAUGAGAUGAAUCUCUCUGUUCCUGUUAGUAAAGAAAAGCAGAAAAAGAGGAGGAUGAAUCAGACGGAUGAAGAAAAAGCAAAGGCUGAUGCUAUGCUAGUAAAGAAAGUUAUCAGAGUGAAAAUGGAGAGAGAGAUGGAGGAAGAGAAAACAGAGGAAACCCCCAGCGAUGUCGUGUUCCUGUCCGCACGGCCGGGAAAUCAAGAUGAGAUUUCUAUAGAUCAGGUAAAACUCACACAGAUCACUAUCCGCUCACUGUAAUCUCUGAUGGUGAUCUGAUGGUUAUUAAUACUCGUUCUGCAGGAGCGGAGGUUAGCCCUGCAGAGAGACGUGGACGAGGAAUCUCAGCCCAAGGCAGCGGUCAGUAUCUACACACACCUAAUUCAGUUACUUCAGUUAUCAAUUAUAAAUAUAUGUAUGUAUG